AACGAACGCUGGCGGCAGGCCUAACACAUGCAAGUCGAACGCUGUAGCAAUACAGAGUGGCAGACGGGUGAGUAACGCGUGGGAACGUGCCCUUUGGUUCGGAAUAACCCAGGGAAACUUGGGCUAAUACCGGAUACGUCCGUAAGGAGAAAGAUUUAUCGCCAAAGGAUCGGCCCGCGUCGGAUUAGCUAGUUGGUGAGGUAAAGGCUCACCAAGGCGACGAUCCGUAGCUGGUCUGAGAGGAUGACCAGCCACACUGGGACUGAGACACGGCCCAGACUCCUACGGGAGGCAGCAGUGAGGAAUAUUGGACAAUGGGCGCAAGCCUGAUCCAGCCAUGCCGCGUGAGUGAAGAAGGCCUUAAGGGUUGUAAAGCUCUUUCAGCGGGGAAGAUAAUGACGGUACCCGCAGAAGAGCCCCGGCUAACUCCGUGCCAGCCACCGCCGUAAC
rnacentral:rRNA from 1 species